AGAGGUGGACCUAUGCUCCUCCUUUUUCUUCUAUACAUAUGUAGCAAUAAAAUUUCUCACUUAUCAAAGAGAGGAUCUAAUAAGCUUGUAAUAUAGUAUAUCCAGUACUAGAAGAUUACUUUAUUUUGCUAUUUUAUACCUUCUGUGAUUAACAAGGAGAAAGACCUAUCAUAGUAGAAAAUGCAUAUCCAGUGCAUUGUUGUCUCUAAGUCAUCAAGUAAUCAAGAACAAAGUGAUGAUGACAAGUAAGGUUAUAUUGGUUCUGUUUCCUUUCUGGACACUAUAUUGAAGGUUAUUGAUAAGCUACGAUCAGUUAACCCUAAACUUGUAUAUGUUUGUGAUCCUGUGAUGGGCGAUGAAGGAAAGCUUUAUGUUCCUCCAGACAUGGUAUCUGUAUAUCGGGAGAAGGUUGUCCCUGUUGCUUCAAUGUUGACCCCUAACCAAUUUGAGGCAGAGCAGUUGACAGGACUCAGGUACUAUUUAUAGUUUUUUUCUCCCUUUUGAAGCAUUUUGAUGAUGCAUAACUUGUGAAAGCUGAACCACUGUAGUCGAAGUAGCAGAGAAGAGGAGAAGAAGAAGAGAUGCUGAAAAUGUCGAACUGUACUAGCCAGUCGACCAGUUCUUUAUUU